rnacentral:lncRNA from 10 species
GUGAACUUCCCGGCAGCCCCUCCCAUCACAGGCUCAGAGACCCAGGAGGAAAAAGUGGUUUAGUGGGCUGGGCCCAAGGACCCUGUGCUUUGUGCAGCCUAAGGACUUGGUGCCCUCUGUCCCAGCUGCUCCAGCCAUGGCUGAAAGGGGCCAAUGUAUAGCUCAGGCUGUGGCUUCAGAGGGUGGAAGCCCCAAGCCUUGGCAGCUUCCGUGUGCUGUUGAGCAUGUGGGUGCACAGAAGUCAAGAAUUGAGGUUUGAGAACCUCUGCCUAGGUUUCAGAAGAUGUAUGGAAAUUCCUGGAUGCCCAGGCAAAAGUUUACUGAAGGGGCAGGGCCCUCAUGGAGAAACUUUGCUAGGGCAGUGCAGAAGGGAAAUGUGGGGUCAGAGCCCUCACACAGGGUCCCUACUGGGGCACCACUUAGUGGAGCUGUGAGAAGAGGGCCACUGCCCUCCAGAUCCCAGAAUGGUAGAUCCACUGACAGCUUGCACUAUGCAUCUGGAAAAGCCACAGAUACUCAACACCAGCCUGUGAAAGCAGUGAGGAGUGAGUCUGUACCCUGUAAAGCCACAGGGGUGGAGCUGCCCAAGACAAUGUGAACCCCGCUUUCGCAUCAGCAUGACCUGGAUGUGAGACCUGGAGUCAAAGGAGAUCAUUUUAAAGGAGCUUUAAGAUUUGACUGCCCUGCUGGAUUUCAGACUUGCAUGGGCCCUGUAACCCCUUUGUUUUGGCCAAUUUAUCCCAUUUGGAACGGCUGUAUUUACCUAAUACCUGUACCCUAAUUGUAUCUAGGAAGUAACUAGCUUGCUUUUGAUUUUAUAGGCUCAUAGGCAGAAGGGACUUGCCUUGUUUCAGAUGCUACUUUGGACUGUGGACUUUUGGGUUAAUGCUGAAAUGAGUUAAGACUUUGGGGGACUGUUGGGAAGGCAUGAUUGGUUUUGAAAUGUGAGGACAUGAGAUUUGGAGGGGUCAAGGGUGGAAUGAUAUGGUUUGGCUGUGUCCCCACCAAAAUCUCAACUUGAAUUAUAUCUCCCAGAAUUCCCAUGUGUUGUGGGAGGAACCCAGGAGGAGGUAAUUGAAUCACGGGGGCCAGUCUUUCCUGUGCUAGUCUCAUGAUCUUGAAUAAGUCUCACGAGAUCUGAUGGGUUUUCCAGGGGUUUCCCCUUUUGCUUCUUCCUCAUUUUCUCUUGCGGCUGCCAUGUAAGAAGAGCCUUUCACCUCCCGCCAUGAUUCUGAGGCCUCCUCAGCCAUGUGGAACUGUUUUUUAGGUUUUUACUCUGCAGCCAGAGUAAACCUUUAAAAGUCCAGCUCCAACUAUGCCAUUCCUCUGUUUACUUCGGUGGCUUCUGAUUGCUCUGAGAAUGAAGAUGGAGCUGCUCAUAUGGACUCCUGCUCACCUCUCUGGUCUUAUUUCACAGUCCUAUUAAAUGCUCCUUUAACAUAUUAUACUUUAUAGGGCUUAUUACAAUUUUAUUUUGAUAAUUGUGUAAUUAGUUGCUUAAUGUUUAUUUCCACUAAAUUGAAAUCUUCAUGAGAUGGAAGACAUUUUUUCCAUCUUUCAUUGAUGCUUUAGUUUCAGAAUGUGCUACAGAGCCUUGCUCAUAGUGGAUACUAAAAAGUUAUUUGUUGAAUGAAACGAGUAAGAAGACAUUUUGGUUAGAAAACAUAAGGUGUCUACAACCAAAAUGUGGAAAAGGAAAGGAACAAAUGGAUAAAUAUUUCAAACUAACAACAAUGUAUUCUAUCUUUGGGGGGGAGAAUGUGAGUAUUGUCUCAUUAAAGCUCUGAAUGGAAUAAAAAGUUUUCUUUUUAGCUAUAUUCACACCUAAUAACUCCUUCCAAUGCACAAAACUUACUAAAUUUAGCCUAAGUGGCAAAUAGUUAUUGUUAUUGGUGAUAAGAAAUGGUGGUUAAUUCUCAUGCAUCCAUACAUAUUUUCUUUGACAAAUUUUGAUCGUGGGCUAACUUUUUUUUAAUGCUAAAUAAAAUGCAAGAUGAUUUCUAACUCAUCACUUCUAGGCUUGGGUUAGAGAAAACAAACCCAAACACUCUGAGAAAGUUCCAAAUCGAAAUCUAAAAUCAUCUGGAAUUUUUGGCUGCUUUAGACUAUCUACUUGUGGUCUGUAUAAGCACAUUAAUACAAUUAAUUGAGAACUAGCUGUGUUGAUAUUAUUAGUAAUACUCCUUUUAUUUAAACCACAUUUGACACAGCAAUUCUAUUCCUAGAGUAUAUGUCCACAAGAAAUGGAUACAGAUUUCUACAAAAAGACCUAUUAUGGGAAUGUUCAUGCUCACCCUAUUCCUAAUAGCCCCGAAAUGGAAAUAAUUCAAGUGUCCCUCAACAGGAGAAUGUCUAUAAAGAACCAUAAAAUUUUAUACUAGAACACGACUAAUAUUUUAUAUUAGAACAUGACUCAGCAAUAAAAAGGAAUUACUGACACAAGCCACAGCAUGUUUGAUUCUCAUAGAUAUGUUGAGCAAAAAAAUUCAUACUCUGUGGUUUCAUCUAAAUGAAGUUCAGGAACAGGCAAAACGAAUCUAUAGUUCAAAGCUAAAAAUCAGGACAGUUGUUGUCUCUGGAGAGGGGACAAUGAAGGACUGACUGGAUAAGACCAUGAGGAAACAUUUUGAGGCUAAGGAAGUGUUCUAUAUUUUGAUUUGGGUGAUUGCAAAGUGGGUAUAUACAUUUGUAAAAAAUGCAUUGAAGGAACACUUAAGAUCAGCAUACUUAAGAUCUGUGAAAGUGUGUGGUCUAAGGUAGACUAUGACUCAAUAAACAAAAAUGUCAAAAAUGCAAACCAAUAAUUGGCAUUGUCAAGAAAAUACUUUAACAGCAUCGGAAAUAAAAUAUGCCUUGUUUUUCCCAGUGUAUUU